rnacentral:lncRNA from 1 species
AGAACUCGGGUAUUAAUGACCCGGAGCCACAUGACGGAGCAUGACACAGCACUUUUGGGCACAAGGCAGGGCCCAGAGGGGUGCGUGGGGGCCGCAGCCCAGCCCCCAAGCCCCGCCAGCGGCUUUACUGGGGUGUAACAAACACACGAUAAACUGCGCAUAUUCCAGUGUUCAUGUGGAUGAGUUUGGACAUAUGCACACACUUCCGAAACCACCAGCACAAUCAAGACAGCAGACAUAUCCAUCGCCCCCAAGGGUGUCCUUGUGUCUUUUUGUCAUUCAUCCCUCCCGGCCGCCCCAUCCACACUCCCAUCGCCUGCCGACUGUGGCUGAUCUGCUUUCUGCGGCUGUGGAUUAGUUUGCGUUCUCUACAAUUUUCUGUAAGUGGAAUCAUGUGGUGUAUUCUUUACUGGGCUUCUUUUCCUCAACAUUAUGAUUUUGAGAGUUACCCACGUU